UACGGGGGGGGCAAGCGUUGUUCGGAAUUACUGGGCGUAAAGGGCUCGUAGGUGGCCAAUUAAGUCAGACGUGAAAUCCCCAGGCUCAACCUGGGAACUGCGUCUGAUACUGGUUGGCUUGAAUUCGGGAGAGGGAUGCAGAAUUCCAGGUGUAGCGGUGAAAUGCGUAGAUAUCUGGAGGAACACCGGUGGCGAAGGCGGCAUUCUGGACCGAUAUUGACGCUGAGGAGCGAAAGCCAGGGGAGCAAACGGG
rnacentral:rRNA from 1 species